rnacentral:rRNA from 1 species
GACGAACGCUGGCGGCGUGCUUAACACAUGCAAGUCGAACGGAAAGGCCCUGCUUUUGUGGGGUGCUCGAGUGGCGAACGGGUGAGUAACCCUUGAGUAACCUGCCCUUGACUUUGGGAUAACUUCAGGACACUGGGGCUCAUACCGGAUAGGAGCUCCUGCUGCAUGGUGGGGGUUGGAAAGUUUCGGCGGUUGGGGAUGGACUCGCGGCUUAUCAGCUUGUUGGUGGGGUAGUGGCAUACCAAGGCUUUGACGGGUAGCCGGCCUGAGAGGGUGGCCGGCCACAUUGGAAUGGAGAUGCGGCACAGACUCCUACGGGAGGCAGCAGUGGGGAAUAGUGCACAAUGGGCGGAAGGCUGAUGCAACGAAGCCGCGUGGGGGAAAAGGGCCUUCGGUUAGUAAACCGCUUUCGCCUGUGCCGAAGCGUGAGUGACGGUAAUGGGUAAAGAAGCACCGGCUAACUACGUG